CUUGAAGUAUUUUUAUUAGCUUAUAAUGACUCAUCUUAAUUAUUUAGACGUUUUAGCGAUAUUUAAAAUUUGUAUGGUCGUAACAUAUGGUAUUUUUUAUGUAUAGUAUAUGUUAUUAAGAGUCCUUUUUACUAUGUUCUGAAAUAUUGCAUGUAAUUAAUUCAGUAUAUUUCAGCUUUUAGCUGCCACUCAGAUUAACAUUUAAUUAAAAUUCAAACAAAAGAAUUAUAAUAAUGAUAUUGACAUAGUUUGCAUCACUGAGACUUGGUUUAAGGAAACUGUUCCCGACGAAGCUGUAUAAACUUGUUCCGGAAUGACAUUGGUUAGAAAUGAUAGAACGUAUGGUACAGGAGAGGGAGUUGCUCUAUAUGUGAAUAGUAAAAUACCAUUUAAAAUUCGCAAGGACUUGAAUGAUCCCUCGUUUGAGUGUCAGUGGGUCACGUUACGUCCAAAAUGGUUACCGAGAGUAAUAUCCAAAAUUUCGGUAUGCUGUUUUUAAGCCAUUAUACCUUUAUAAUUGUUACGACAAACUCUGCACGGAAAGUCCAAACUCAGCUUUUAUUGUUUCGGGCGAUUUUAAUCCAACGAGUAAUGGCUUUCAACAGAGUCGAUUAAAUAGAGACCGCAGUUUUAAACAUGUUGUGAAAGUUCAGACACGGAAUAAUAAUAUACUCGAUCGAAUUGAUUUUUACAAGUAUCGCGGACUUUUAUACGAAUCCUGAGAUCUUAGCACCCCUAUCAACAUCAGAUCAUAACAUAGUGUUGUGGAAAUCGAGAACUGACGCUUCCGUAUAGUAAAGGCUGGAAAUAUAGUGAGGCUAAAAGUGAGAGAUGUCAACCAUACAAAUACGGAACAGUUUGGGUCUUUUUUAGAGAACUAUGACUGGAGUGCAGUUUUCUCCAACAAAGGACUCGAUGAGAAAGUUGAUGCUUUUCUAGUACUGAAGUGAUUACUAACGAGUUUUUUCCCCGAAGAAAUAAUAAAAAAGCAUACCAACGAUAAACCCUUUAUGAUGCGAAAGAUUAAAACCCGGAUGGAUACGAGAAAUAAAGCUUUUAAAAACAAUAAAACCGCCGAGCUUUUCAUAUCAUUAUUCCAUUAACUUAAUUACGUAGCCGUAGGCAAGUUUCAGCUAAGAUAAAGAAGGCGAAGCUGCAGUUUUAUGAUAAAAAGAUACGACCAAAGUAUAGUUCAUGCCCAAAAGCAUGCAUGGUGGAAGCAAGUUAAAAGAUUAAUUGGAUCACGGAAAAACGCUGUGACUUCAGUAGACCCCGAGACAAAUCUCCAAAUGAACGAUAAACAAUCGGGCAGAUUCAUGAUGUUAAUGUUAACAAGGCACCUGAACCAAAUUAUCCACUUUUGAAGAUUCUGAAAAUGUUUCCGAAAUUGUUUGCAGUUCCUCUUGCUGAAAUUCAAACAAAGAAAAUCCCCGAAACUUGGAAAAAAAUAUAAAGUAACUGGAAUUCCUAAGACCAUACCAUGCACAAUUGUUGAGAACCUUAGACCGAUUGCAUUGACCAGUGUUUUAUCGAAAGUUCAGGAAUCUAUUGCCAACAAGUGGAUUAAUGAAGAUAUAAAUGGGAAAAUUUCCAAUUCCCAAUAUGGAGGGCUCCCAAGAUCUUCAGCAUUGUGUGCCCUUCCUAACUUGCUCUGCAACUGGUACAGAGCUAUGGACGGCCACAAAGAGUAAUACGAAUAAUCUUUCUUGACUUUAGGAAAGCGUUCGACCUAAUUGACCAUAAUAUAUUGCUACGAAAUAUGAAAGAGAUGGGAAUUAGAUUGGCCUUAAUUCAUUGGUUUGGAACAUAUCUCAAUAAAAGAUCUCAUUUUACUAAAUUCGGGAAUCGGGAAUGAUACAUCUUAUUAUGCAUAUAUUAAUGGAGAGUGCCACAAGGAAGCAAACUCGGAUAAAUUGCCUUUGUAUACAAUAAUAAAGAUUGAUAAACUACCCUCUGUCAUAAAAGAAGAAAUAUGUCCACCAACAAUUGAAGCCAAUGUUAUACUUGAACAGGAUACAAUAAUGUUUAUGGAUG
rnacentral:lncRNA from 1 species